rnacentral:rRNA from 1 species
CCUACGGGGGGCAGCAGUGAGGAAUAUUGGUCAAUGGGCGCGAGCCUGAACCAGCCAAGUCGCGUGAGGGAAGACGGUCCUAUGGAUUGUAAACCUCUUUUGUCGGGGAGCAAAAGACGCCACGCGUGGCGUUCCGAGAGUACCCGAAGAAAAAGCAUCGGCUAACUCCGUGCCAGCAGCCGCGGUAAUACGUAGGGGGCAAGCGUUAUCCGGAUUUACUGGGUGUAAAGGGAGCGUAGACGGCAUAGCAAGUCUGAAGUGAAAGCCCAAGGCUCAACCAUGGGACUGCUUUGGAAACUGUUAAG